AGAGUUUGAUCAUGGCUCAGAGCGAACGCUGGCGGCAGGCUUAACACAUGCAAGUCGAACGGGCACUUCGGUGCUAGUGGCAGACGGGUGAGUAACACGUGGGAACGUACCUUUCGGUUCGGAAUAAUUCAGGGAAACUUGGACUAAUACUGGAUAAGCCCUUCGGGGGAAAGAUUUAUCGCCGAUAGAUCGGCCCGCGUCUGAUUAGCUAGUUGGUGAGGUAACGGCUCACCAAGGCGACGAUCAGUAGCUGGUCUGAGAGGAUGAUCAGCCACAUUGGGACUGAGACACGGCCCAAACUCCUACGGGAGGCAGCAGUGGGGAAUAUUGGACAAUGGGCGAAAGCCUGAUCCAGCCAUGCCGCGUGUGUGAUGAAGGCCUUAGGGUUGUAAAGCACUUUUGUCCGGGAAGAUAAUGACUGUACCGGAAGAAUAAGCCCCGGCUAACUUCGUGCCAGCAGCCGCGGUAAUACGAAGGGGGCUAGCGUUGCUCGGAAUCACUGGGCGUAAAGGGCGCGUAGGCGGACUCCUAAGUCGGGGGUGAAAGCCCAGGGCUCAACCCUGGAAUUGCCUUCGAUACUGAGAGUCUUGAGUUCGGAAGAGGUUGGUGGAACUGCGAGUGUAGAGGUGAAAUUCGUAGAUAUUCGCAAGAACACCAGUGGCGAAGGCGGCCAACUGGUCCGAUACUGACGCUGAGGCGCGAAAGCGUGGGGAGCAAACAGGAUUAGAUACCCCGGUAGUCC
rnacentral:rRNA from 1 species